GCUACGGUGGUCUAGCGGUUAGAACGCUGGCCUUGUAAUCCUGGGGUCUCGGGUUCGAUUCCCGUUGGUGCCC
rfam:Zootermopsis nevadensis contig5086, whole genome shotgun sequence.